rnacentral:rRNA from 1 species
AUUGAACGCUGGCGGCAGGCCUAACACAUGCAAGUCGAACGGUAACAGGAAGCAGCUUGCUGCUUUGCUGACGAGUGGCGGACGGGUGAGUAAUGUCUGGGAAACUGCCUGAUGGAGGGGGAUAACUACUGGAAACGGUAGCUAAUACCGCAUAACGUCGCAAGACCAAAGAGGGGGACCUUCGGGCCUCUUGCCAUCGGAUGUGCCCAGAUGGGAUUAGCUUGUUGGUGGGGUAACGGCUCACCAAGGCGACGAUCCCUAGCUGGUCUGAGAGGAUGACAGCCCACACGGGAACGGACACACGCCCGAGACUCCUGGGGGGGGCGGCGGUGGGGAAUUUUGAACAGGGGGCGCAGGCGUAAUGCGACAAGGCGGGGGGUAGGAGAAGGGCCUUGGGUUUGAAAAAUCCUUCGGGGGGGGAGAAAGGGAGAAAGUUUACUCCCUUAACUCAUUGACGUUCCCCGAAAAAAAAGCCCCGGCUACCUCCGUG